AUGCUGGAAGUAUUCAAUCAGUACAACUGCCUUCCAAGCAGGAAGUCCAAACUCGGUCAGCAUA
rnacentral:tRNA from 1 species